rnacentral:rRNA from 1 species
AGAGUUUGAUCCUGGCUCAGAGCAAACGCUGGCGGCGUGCCUAAUACAUGCAAGUCGAACGGGGAAAGUAGCAAUACGAGUACUAGUGGCGCACGGGUGAGGAACACGUGGGUAAUCUGCCUUCGAGCGGGGGAUAACCAGUCGAAAGAUUGGCUAAUACCGCAUAAGACCACAGGAUCCGAGGAUCUAGGGGUCAAAGCAGCAAUGCACUCGAAGAUGAGCCCGCGUAAGAUUAGCUAGUUGGUGAGGUAAUGGCUCACCAAGGCGAUGAUCUUUAGCUGGUCUGAGAGGAUGAUCAGCCACACUGGAACUGAGACACGGUCCAGACUCCUACGGGAGGCAGCAGUAGGGAAUAUUGCGCAAUGGGGGCAACCCUGACGCAGCGACGCCGCGUGAGUGAUGAAGGCCUUCGGGUCG